CCUGUGAACAGAAGAGACAUGACAUUCAUUCUCCAGUCCAUUUUCCUACUGCUCAGCAACAGCCUAUAUUAUGCUAUUUAUCUACCCCCAUCAAGGUUUAUUUUGAGGCAGAUGGGGGACAGACGAAGGGGAAUUUCUAUCUGCAGCUGUAUUAAGCCAUGGCAGAGAUCCAUCCUGCUAAAUAUCCCUUUGGCCAGUGGCAGAGUAGUCAAGGAGUCCUGCAGCAGGACAUGAACCAAGUGAUGCUUCCCAGAUCUGCCUUUCACAAAGUGUUCCCAUUGCAUCCGAUUUAACUGCCACCAGUAGACCAACCCUCCUUCAAUUCACAGACUCCCUCUAACUCAUUUACACUCCUGGAGUCCACGGUUUCUUCCAGCAGUGAGUUUCACAACCCAUGGAUGUGAUGUGAGAAAACCUACUGCCUUUGGUCCAAAGUUGCUGUCCAAUCUAUCACUUUCCUACAUGACGCUGUGCCUCUCCUCCUUGUACAUCACCCAUUUGCCUGUCCCAUAUCAGAGGAACUUCCAACUCUUAUCAAGAAUUGCACUUUAUGUCGUAUUCUUCUAGUUUUGGAAGAACACAAGCAACCCUGUUUCCCUCCACAGUUAAGCCUUCAAAUCGACAAACAGCAGAAAUGGUCAAGUCUACUCAUUUAAAGGGAGACAAGAGGGGGAAGUCAGGUCAAAUCCCCAAAACUGCAGUCUGGGUUGACAACCACAGUUUUGGGGGACAUUCAGAGCAGGUUCGAGUGGCAAUGCUCACCUGAGAGCUCUCAGCAGGUCAUGAUGGGAAGGCUUCUUGUCACCAUUCUGCAGAGACUUCACCGAUGCUCCAGAGCUCACUGGGAGCUUCAGACUCAGGAGGUACCUAAUGGACAAGAGGAGAUGCGUGAAGCACUGACAUCCAACCAUGCUAUGGAAUACAUUGUUUGCUUCAUUGUGAAGAGUUCCAGGCAGACAUGACGAAAGUGACAAAACAGCUCAAGAAAAGAGACGUCCCGUGCAGCAUUCAUGAAAUGCGCUGUUUGGAAGCAAAGAACGGGCAAACAGGAAAGCGCUUUAACCAUUGAGACGACGGGAUCCCAGCAUGUUCUUGGCACCGGCGUGAACAAUGGGGUGAUGUCACGAGCCAGAAUUCCCCACGGUGGGUGGAAGCCCAGCAACUCAUCAUAAUUCUUGUCCUGGGACAUUAGCGAAAUUUUUCCACAGUUGAUCAUCUCCUACUGAGUCUCUGUUAGGAACUAUAAGGAAGAGACAUUGUCAAGUGAAGCUUCCUUUGGGAGAUUCGUCGCCCCCCACCUCCCCACCCCCCCAGAGCAGCACAUCAGUUGUUAUAGAUCAUUGUUUUCUGCUGACUCCGAGGAAUUUCAGUGGUGGUGCCGAGCACAGGGCUGCCUGAAGAACAUAUUCCAUAUUGUGAAGGGCACACACAAGGGUCUGGGUACUUGCAAGAGCAAAGGGGCGGGAGAUCCCUAGAGCCUUGGGCAGACACUGUUGGUGUGGAGCGUUGUCCUUGCUGUUCCAAAGGUGCUGAGAAUGGCGAGGAGCUUAGGAGACAUGUUCUUGCAUGAACAGUUGUGUUUGGAGAAUUUCAAUUGAGCUUAACGCUACUAAAUGAUUUGAGCAAUAUGGGGGCAACCUCUGGGUCCCAGACUCUCUUAUUUUGGCUUAAAGUCAGUUCUGCGGAGAGCACCCCAAGCUGACAUGCAGCAGCCAGGUAUAUUCUGAAGCAGCUCUUGAAUUCUCCUUUAGCUCCCUUGUUUUGACAGGGACUGGUCCCAUGAAACGACUGGCAUAGCCUGGCAAUCCUCACAGGUUGUGAUGGCUUUUGGUCAUUAUUGGGUUAUUACUGCAAAUCCAGGCUGCUCUCACCUUCCAGGAUCUGCUCUGCAAGACCUCGCUCAGCCUCUCUGCAGGGCACACCAGCUCGGGGCUCCCACUUGUGUUUGAUUGCAUGCAGGUUCCUGUCAGUAAGAUGAGUAGUGGGACUUCUUGGCUGAUUACUCUUUAAACAGCAAAAAGGACUUUAAUGAGUCUAAGCCAGUCAAGAAAUGGCAGCUCUAAAGAAAAGAAGCACUAAGACAUGCAUUGUUUGUGUGGUUUACUGAUAUAGAUUUGUCCCCGUUCUAUGUUUGUCUGUGGUUUGCGUUAUCAGUGCCUGAAUAUACCAUGAAGGGUUGUUUACUCUGGUUCCAGCUUCCAGAUCUUUGUGUGUUUUCCCCAUUCGAGGAGGUCCCAGAGGAACCAGUGUCCCUGGCACACAUGGAGAGGUGGCCUGGCCCAGAGCGUUCGGGGAAAAAGGACUUGAGUGUCUCAGGGACCUUUGAAAUGUGUUGAGCUGUUUGUAGUCGAAGGUGGUUAUCAUUCUCUUACGUAAGUGUCAUUAAUUUUAUAGCAAAGUAACUAAUCCUUUAGUAAAAUAAGAGCAGGUAGCAGGGCCAAGAUUUGCCUUUAGGACACCAGUUCAAAUUAAAUCCAGGAAGGCACUAGCCAGACUGGGGGUGUUCUGAAUAUAUGGAUGUGUGAUCAGCUUUGGAAGGGACAUUCAACUUCAUGCAUCAAGGCUCUGCUAUUGUAUUGUGUUAGACCUGGAUGAGACGCCCAGCAGGAGCAGGCCAUACCUGAUCCUUUAUGGCAAGACUUGUCCACUGUCCUCUUCAGCAUCUUCUGCUGGUUACGGCCACAGGCCUGAUUUAGUCUGAUUUUACAGCUGUUAUUUUAAAGUCAUAACCAAUGUGCUCCCAAUGCCACCCGUCGACACUGCUGCGGGAGCUCUGGUAGAGGGGCAUGGGCAAAAACUUGCAAUGCUCCCACACCAAGAGAUUUGCUGAAUAUUUUCAGCACCACCCAUUCUUUCUUUUAAAAAUAUAAGGGCUCUAAAGGCUGUGAACUCAUCCUGUUCUUUCCUCACUACUUGGGAAGCCAAGCCUGUUCAUCCCUUUUUGUGGAUGGAAAAGUUGCACCAAAGGGAACCAUUUGCAGGGCGGUUUUCUCUUCCAUAAAUCACGUGGAGAUGCGCAUUCCUCCUGCUCAGCAUCGCCUGCACAUCUUGGGGUCUCGGAAGAGCUCAGUCUGGGGAAGAGAAGGUUUCAUGGUGCAUGAGGAAGGACACCCAAAAACCUUCUUAGCCACCCCCAGGCGGACUUCUCUCCCAACACCACCAC